AGAGAAUGGAUCUUCUCCGAGUGGGGACAUUGCUGACAAUCCCGGCUUCCCGAGGCGGCUAAGAACAGGCAGUUUGUGUCGGCUGGCUGCAGAUACCCAGAGGCACAAAGAGACCGAAGCCACCCGGAGGGACCCACGGACGGACAGAUGGUAGGCGCGAACCCGAGAGGACCGGCGGAGGCUGAGCACCGAGAGCCGCCAAGGAAGAGAAACUAACCACGGCCAAGUUACCCCGCCGGCUUUCCUUCGCUGCGCUAAGGAAUGAAACCCUUCCAGCUCGAUCUGCUCUUCGUCUGCUUCUUCCUCUUCAGUCAAGAGCUGGGCCUCCAGAAGAGAGGAUGCUGUCUGGUGCUGGGCUACAUGGCCAAGGACAAGUUUCGGAGAAUGAAUGAAGACAGAGACAGAGUUUCGCUCUUGUUGCCCAGGCUGGAAUGCAAUGGCAUGAUCUCAGCUCACUGCAAGCUCCGCCUCCCACGUUCAAGCGAUUCUCCUGCCUCAGCCUCCUGAGUAGCUGGGAUUACAGGCACCCACCACCUCACUUGGCUGAUUUUUUGUAUGUUUAGUAGAAACGGGGUUUCGCCAUGUUGGGCAGGCUGGUCUCGAACUCCUGACCUCGGGUGAUCCACCCGCCUCAGCCUCCCAAAGUGCUGGGAUUACAGGCAUGCGACUAAUAUUCUUAACGUAACCCUGUGGCUUAGGAGUAGGAGAAAUCUAGAUUCAAAUCCCGGGUGUAGUCAGGGCAGGCUUAGACCCCUAUCAUUACAGAUUCUCCAGGCCAGAAGGGACCAAAGGUCAUCUGGUUCCAUAUCCCUGCCAAGUACCAUUGUGUGUAAAGACUGUGAACACGGCGGCAUGCUCAUUUAUUCACCAACCCUGUGUCCAGUACCCGCUCUGUGCCUGGCGCUGUGCAUGUAAAAACACAGUCCCUGCCCCCAACGAUACCACUGUCUUGCGGGGAGAGACAAACACGUCAGCAACUACAGUACAAUGUCGCAGUUGCGGUAACCGGGUAUGAAUAAGUAGCUAUGGAAACAGAGAAGGAGAAUCCAAUCACACUGUAGGCCAGGAGAGGAGUGUCCAGCAUGGCUUCUGGAGAAAUGAGCCCUGUGAGAUGUUUUAUUCUAAGAGGCUGUUGCAACCUAUGCUUGAAUCCCUCCAAAGACAAGAAACUUGCAGCCUGCCGAGGCGGUGGGCAGCUCCUCAGCCAGGCUCUCCAAACACCACACCCCUUCCACCCCAGGAGGCUGCAGUUUUCGCAUUCUAGCUUUACUGAUGACGAGGGGACCCAGUGACUUGGACAGCAGCCACUGGCAAGAUCCUGGGGUCUCCACUAUGUCAACUGCACCGGGGAGGCCUCCUUUCUUCUCUCUGCUUCUUCCUUCCAUCCCCAGCCAGCCUCAAAGGCUUCAUCACAGAAUUCUUUGAGUGCUGAGACCCUCCCCCAGCCCUCUCCCCAGGGUCUGAAGAAAGCCCCAGAGAAGUUGGAAUAAACGAAGGUGCUUAAUG
rnacentral:sRNA from 1 species